UUCAAAUGAUGUAUUACAAAUAUUUGCUACUUCGGACGUUGCCUUCCACGGCUUCGAAUGAGACAUACUAAUUAUCACCAAGAUCUCUGAUGAA
rfam:Candida glabrata strain CBS138 chromosome D complete sequence.